ensembl:snoRNA LOC120096781 small nucleolar RNA SNORD113/SNORD114 family
AGGAAAUAUGUUAAAACAUUAUUUUAUUCAUCUGAGACAUGCAUGAUGACUACAACAUUGCAAAUCUGAGGUCCAC